rnacentral:rRNA from 1 species
AAAUUGAAGAGUUUGAUCAUGGCUCAGAUUGAACGCUGGCGGCAGGCCUAACACAUGCAAGUCGAACGGUAACAGGAAGCAGCUUGCUGCUUCGCUGACGAGUGGCGGACGGGUGAGUAAUGUCUGGGAAACUGCCUGAUGGAGGGGGAUAACUACUGGAAACGGUAGCUAAUACCGCAUAAUGUCGCAAGACCAAAGAGGGGGACCUUCGGGCCUCUUGCCAUCGGAUGUGCCCAGAUGGGAUUAGCUUGUUGGUAGGGUAACGGCUCACC